AUUGAACGCUGGCGGCAUGCUUUACACAUGCAAGUCGAACGGUAACAGGCCGCAAGGUGCUGACGAGUGGCGAACGGGUGAGUAAUGCAUCGGAACGUGCCCAGUCGUGGGGGAUAACGCAGCGAAAGCUGCGCCAAUACCGCAUACGAUCUAUGGAUGAAAGCGGGGGACCGUAAGGCCUCGCGCGAUUGGAGCGGCCGAUGUCAGAUUAGGUAGUUGGUGGGGUAAAGGCUCACCAAGCCAACGAGCUGUAGCUGGUCUGAGAGGACGACCAGCCACACUGGGACUGAGACACGGCCCAGACUCCUACGGGAGGCAGCAGUGGGGAAUUUUGGACAAUGGGCGCAAGCCUGAUCCAGCAAUGCCGCGUGCAGGAUGAAGGCCUUCGGGUUGUAAACUGCUUUUGUACGGAGCGAAAGGGCUUCCACUAAUACUGGGGGCUCAUGACGGUACCGUAAGAAUAAGCACCGGCUAACUACGUGCCAGCCGCCGCAGUAACAC
rnacentral:rRNA from 1 species